rnacentral:rRNA from 1 species
AGUGAACGCUGGCGGUAGGCCUAACACAUGCAAGUCGAACGGCAGCACAGUAAGAGCUAGCUCUUACGGGUGGCGAGUGGCGGACGGGUGAGGAAUACAUCGGAAUCUACUUUUUCGUGGGGGAUAACGUAGGGAAACUUACGCUAAUACCGCAUACGACCUACGGGUGAAAGCAGGGGAUCUUCGGACCUUGCGCGAUUGAAUGAGCCGAUGUCGGAUUAGCUAGUUGGCGGGGUAAAGGCCCACCCAGGCGACGAUCCGUAGCCGGUCUGAGAGGAUGAUCAGCCACACUGGAACUGAGACACGGUCCAGACUCCUACGGGAGGCAGCAGUGGGGAAUAUUGGACAAUGGGCGCAAGCCUGAUCCAGCCAUACCGCGUGGGUGAAGAAGGCCUUCGGGUUGUAAAGCCCUUUUGUUGGGAAAGAAAAGCAGCAGGUUAAUACCCCGCUGUUCUGACGGUACCCAAAGAAUAAGCACCGGCUAACUUCGUG